CUUGUUGUACAUGGAAUCUGUCUCACAUGCAUGAAUUUAAAAAAAAAACUUACGAUGUCAGCUGCUAAUUUUCAGAUUUACAGCCAUUUUCACUGGACUAUCUGUUGCUGCUAAGUCAUGGGUUAGCCUUGCAAUAACCAAGUGGUUAUAUCAGCUGUUUUGUUGAACCUCUCCCGCAUCUGAACUGGCUGACAGAGGGCACAGCCUGAUCAUAGGUAUGUUUUGAUGUGAGAGGAAUCCAGUCCCGACAGCGCAAUUGUGAUGAACUGAGAGAAUAUUAGGGUAGCACUGUCAUUCAUGAAUCAUAUGCUAUCUGCCGCUGUUCUUUCCUCUCUACCCACCUCAUCUUCUAAUGCACACCAUAUGUGCAUUGAAGUACAGA